rnacentral:rRNA from 1 species
AGGGCACCACCAGGAGUGGAGCCUGCGGCUUAAUUUGACUCAACACGGGGAAACUCACCCGGCCCGGACACCGGAAGGAUUGACAGAUUGAUAGCUCUUUCUUGAUUCGGUGGAUGGUGGUGCAUGGCCGUUCUUAGUUGGUGGAGCGAUCUGUCUGGUUAAUUCCGAUAACGAACGAGACUCUAGCCUAUUAAAUAGACGUCGGGUUCUCUGCACUCGACGGUCUUCUUAGAGGGACAAGGUGCUUUUAGCACCGCGAAACAGAGCAAUAACAGGUCUGUGAUGCCCUUAGAUGUCCGGGGCCGCACGCGCGCUACACUGAAGGAAGCAGCGUGUAACAACCUUGUUCUAACGAACUGGGUAAACCCGUGGAACUUCCUUCAUGAUUGGAUAAGGGUUUGCAAUUGUUGCCCUUGAACGAGGAUUCCCAGUAAACACUAGUCAUCAGCUAGUGCUGAAUACGUCCCUGCCCUUGAACCCCCGCCCUUGGUAAUACCGAUUGAAUGUUAUGAGGUCUCC